rnacentral:rRNA from 1 species
GAUGAACGCUGGCGGCGUGCCUAAUACAUGCAAGUCGAGCGAACAGAUGAUGAGCUUGCUCCUCUGACGUUAGCGGCUGACGGGUGAGUAACACGUGGAUAACCUACCUAUAAGACUGGGAUAACUUCGGGAAACCGGAGCUAAUACCGGAUAAUAUAUUGAACCGCAUGGUUCAAUAGUGAAAGACGGUUUUGCUGUCACUUAUAGAUGGAUCCGCGCCGCAUUAGCUAGUUGGUAAGGUAACGGCUUACCAAGGCGACGAUGCGUAGCCGACCUGAGAGGGUGAUCGGCCACACUGGAACUGAGACACGGUCCAGACUCCUACGGGAGGCAGCAGUAGGGAAUCUUCCGCAAUGGGCGAAAGCUUGACGGAGCAACGCCGCGUGAGUGAUGAAGGUCUUCGGAUCGUAAAACUCUGUUAUUAGGGAAGAACAAAUGUGUAAGUAACUAUGCACGUCUUGACGGUACCUAAUCAGAAAGCCACGGCUAACUACGUG